rnacentral:rRNA from 12 species
GACUCUCGGCAACGGAUAUCUCGGCUCACGCAUCGAUGAAGAACGUAGCAAAAUGCGAUACUUGGUGUGAAUUGCAGAAUCCCGUGAACCAUCGAGUUUUUGAACGCAAGUUGCGCCCGAAGCCAUUUGGUUGAGGGCACGUCUGCCUGGGCGUCACAC